UACGUAGGGGGCGAGCGUUGUCCGGAAUCAUUGGGCGUAAAGCGCGUGUAGGCGGCUCGGUAAGUCCGGUGUGAAACCUUGGGGCUCAACCCCAAGCCUGCACUGGAUACUGUCGAGCUCGAGUCCGGGAGGGGAGAGCGGAAUUCCUGGUGUAGCGGUGAAAUGCGCAGAUAUCAGGAAGAACACCCGUGGCGAAGGCGGUUCUCUGGGACGGUACUGACGCUGAGGAGCGAAAGCGUGGGGAGCGAACAGG
rnacentral:rRNA from 1 species